AUGGUAAACAAGUUCCAUGGCUCUUCCUUUAGGAACUCUUCUCCCAACAACCCUAAGUUCAUCCAAAUCAUUACUUCCUCAGAUGAGUUAUGCCGUCUCAGGAUUCCAGUAGUAUUUGCCAAAAGACAUUGCAAGAACAUGUUAAACCCCGUGUUUGUUGAGGCUCCCAUGGAAAAGCAUGGGAGGUUGAAGUGGAAAAUUCUCAAGGCCAAAUUUGGCUAGCCAAAGGAUGGAAAGAUUUUUGUGGCUAUUACUCAAUAAGCGUCAGGAGCUUAUUAGUCUUCACAUACAACCCGCGUUCUCACUUUGAUGUCGCUAUAUAUGAUCAGAGUACAACAGAAAUUGAAUAUCCAAUAGAUCAAGAGACUGAAUCAGAUGAAGAAGAGGAAGAUAUUCCAGUCCUCCAAGCUAAUGCUAAUGUAAUCGAGGAAGAAGAGGAAGAUAUUCCAGUUAACCUUCAAACUAAUGCUAAUGUAAUUGAGCAAGGCAAAACAAUCAAGCAAGAAGAGCACUGAGGUGGAGGUGAUCCCAAAUAGAAACUCAGAAGCAGCAGUCGCGAUUGGAACUACUGACACAGAUACCGAUGUCUCUUCUGAGGAAUCAGAUGAUGAGUCCAAAAAUAUGUGAUCAUAUGGUUAAAGCAUAUAUGCAAUAGUUUCUGGGCUAUUUCUUAUUAGUUAUGGUUCUAAAGAUCGUUCGAAUUAUUAGUGAAGUGUUCUAUUAGAUAUAUGAACAAUAUAAUGUUGUUGCUUUUUUA